rnacentral:rRNA from 1 species
AAGCACUUUAAUCGAUUUCUUCGGAUUGAAAUUUAGUGACUGAGUGGCGGACGGGUGAGUAACGCGUGGGUAACCUGCCUCAAAGAGGGGGACAACAGUUGGAAACGACUGCUAAUACCGCAUAAGCCCACGGGUCGGCAUCGACCUGAGGGAAAAGGAGCGAUCCGCUUUGAGAUGGCCUCGCGUCCGAUUAGCUAGUUGGUGGGGUAAAGGCCUACCAAGGCGACGAUCGGUAGCCGGACUGAGAGGUUGAACGGCCACAUUGGGACUGAGACACGGCCCAGACUCC